GGCCGUGUGGCUCAAUGGCAGAGCGUCUGACUACGAUUCGAACGAAAUCAGAAGGUCGCAGGUUCGACCCCUGUCUCGGUCA